CUACGUAGGGAGCGAGCGUUGUCCGGAAUUACUGGGUGUAAAGGGAGCGUAGGCGGGAGUGCAAGUCAGAUGUGAAAUACAUGGGCUCAACCCAUGGGCUGCAUUUGAAACUGCAUUUCUUGAGUGAAGUAGAGGUAAGCGGAAUUCCUGGUGUAGCGGUGAAAUGCGUAGAUAUCAGGAGGAACACCGGUGGCGAAGGCGGCUUACUGGGCUUUUACUGACGCUGAGGCUCGAAAGCGUGGGGAGCAAACAGGAUUAGAUACCCUGGUAGUCCACGCUGUAAACGAUGAUUACUAGGUGUGGGGGGACUGACCCCUUCCGUGCCGCAGUUAACACAAUAAGUAAUCCACCUGGGGAGUACGGCCGCAAGGUUGAAACUCAAAUGAAUCGACGGGG
rnacentral:rRNA from 1 species